UACGGAGGGUGCAAGCAUUGAUCGGAAUUACUGGGUGUAAAGGGCGCGUAGGCGGCAGAAUAAGUCGGAUGUGAAAUUCCGGGGCUCAACCCCGGAGCUGCAUUUGAAACUAUUCAGCUAGAGGUUAGUAAGGGAAAACGGAAUUCCACGUGUAGCGGUGAAAUGCGUAGAUAUGUGGAAGAACACCGGUGGUGAAGACGGUUUUCUGUGCUAAACCUGACGCUGAGGCGCGAAAGCUAGGGGAGCAAACAGG
rnacentral:rRNA from 1 species